rnacentral:rRNA from 1 species
UACGUAGGGUCCAAGCGUUAUCCGGAAUCACUGGGCGUAAAGCGCACGUAGGCGGCUUCUUAAGUCAGGGGUGAAAUCCUGGAGCUCAACUCCAGAACUGCCCUUGAUACUGAGGAGCUUGAGUCCGGGAGAGGUGAGUGGAACUGCGAGUGUAGAGGUGAAAUUCGUAGAUAUUCGCAAGAACACCAGUGGCGAAGGCGGCUCACUGGCCCGGUACUGACGCUGAGGUGCGAAAGCGUGGGGAGCAAACAGG